rnacentral:tRNA from 1 species
GCUCUCUUAGCUUAGUCGGCAAAGCACCUGUUUUGUAAUCAGUCGAUCGUCAGUUCGAGCCUGACCGAGGGCU